GCGAGUCGAGCGUCUCUAGUUAUGGUGAGACGCGGCAGACGGCUCAGUAACACGUGGCUAACCUACCCUCAGGACAGGGACAAACCCGGGAAACUGGGGCUAAUACCCGAUAGGCGAGGGCGCCUGGAAUGGUUCUUCACCCAAAGGGCUUUGGAAGCAUGCUUUUCAAAGUCGCCUGGGGAUGGGGCCGCGUCCGAUCAGGUUGUUGGUGAGGUAACGGCUCACCAAGCCUAUAACCGGUACGGGCCGUGAGAGCGGUAGCCCGGAGAUGGGCACUGAGACAAGGGCCCAGGCCCUACGGGGCGCAGCAGUCGCGAAAACUCCGCAAUGCACGAAAGUGUGACGGGGCUACCCCGAGUGCCGUCCGCUGAGGAUGGCUUUUCCUCGGUGUAACUAGCCGGGGGAAUAAGGAGAGGGCAAGACUGGUGUCAGCCGCCGCGGUAAUACCAGCUCUCCGAGUGGUAGGGAUGAUUAUUGGGCUUAAAGCGUCCGUAGCCGGCUUAGCAAGUCUCCUGUUAAAUUCAGCGACCUAAUCGUUGAGCCGCGGGAGAUACUACUAGGCUAGGAGGCGGGAGAGGCCGACGGUACUUCCGGGGUAGGGGUGAAAUCCUAUAAUCCCGGGCGGACCACCAGUGGCGAAGGCUGUCGGCUAGAACGCGCUCGACGGUGAGGGACGAAAGCUGGGGGAGCGAACCGGAUUAGAUACCCGGGUAGUCCCAGCCGUAAACGAUGCGGGCUAGGUGUU
rnacentral:rRNA from 1 species